GUGAUGAAAGAGCUGACGGCGUUAUUUUAAUGUAUGAUUGGCUUGUUUAUUUUUUAAAAUUGACCAUUGGAAUGAAGUCAUUUCAUGGUGCCACCACUUGGGAUGGUAUUAGCUGCAAAUAUAGACUUGUACUCAGCACUUAUUGCCUUUAAGAAGUAUGAGAUCCAUUUUGUGCUAACACCUACCGUGACACAGAAUCUUGGUUUAUGCAGUCUCAUAGGAGUAACCUGUCUAAAGCAUUUAGCAAUGGGAUUGGAACCUGCGACGUGUGACUCAUCUGAAGACUGAAUUUUGAUACCAAGCAUGACCAUGAUUUGCCAGAAGAUCAUCUGUUUGGAUGUGACAUGGAAUAAACAGCAUAGUGAAAAUAAGUCAAGUUUUGGUUUGUGAAGACAAUUUUUAAACACACUGUGUAUCAUUUUUAAAUUUUGAUUUGACAACAUAAAUCCACAAAUAUGAACAUAUCAAUUGCUCUCAGUUUUUCAAGUGAAAUAGUUUUUGUAACAGAAAUACAUGUACCAGUAAUUACAUUGGAAUAAAUG